rnacentral:rRNA from 1 species
GUAGCUGAUCUUAGAGGAUGAUCAGCCACACUGGGACUGAGACACGGCCCAGACUCCUACGGGAGGCAGCAGUGGGGAAUCUUGGACAAUGGGCGCAAGCCUGAUCCAGCCAUGCCGCGUGAGUGAAGAAGGUCUUCGGAUUGUAAAGCUCUUUUGCCAGGGACGAUAAUGACGGUACCUGGAGAAUAAGCCCCGGCAAACUUCGUGCCAGCAGCCGCGGUAAUACGAAGGGGGCUAGCGUUGUUCGGAAUUACUGGGCGUAAAGCGCACGUAGGCGGGUCGUUAAGUCAGGGGUGAAAUCCCGGAGCUCAACUCCGGAACUGCCUUUGAUACUGGCGAUCUUGAGAUCGGAAGAGGUGAGUGGAAUUCCCAGUGUAGAGGUGAAAUUCGUAGAUAUUGGGAAGAACACCAGUGGCGAAGGCGGCUCACUGG